UUCUCCCUCAUUAACACCUUCUUUUCUCUUACGCCCUCUCACUAUCGCCCUCUCUCCCUCUCUUAGCCUUGCUCACCCAUCGCCUCAUCAGACAACAUUCUCUUGAUAAAACCACCUACAGUUCAUCGAGGUUCAUUGAAGGUAAGUAGAAUUCAUAAUCAUUGGCUAGAGCGAUAUGCUACGUCGUGGAGUUUUAGCUAUGUACUUACUCAUAAGUAAGUUGUUUUAUUGUUAUGGAUCCAUUUUGUAUGUUUGCUCAUGUUUGGGCUAAGAUGGAAGAUAAUAAACUGGCUUAUGCAACACAUAAUAUAUGAUCAUUAAACGGAAGAAGAAGACCGUCGUCACAUAACAUUGACGACGAUGCCUUGUUUGUGAGAACGAGAUGCUGUGGCUAAGCCAAGAUGCCUAAGUUGAGUCCAGAUGCCUCGGGUGAGCUAGCCCUUAGGAUGCCUGGGUUAACCCAGGAUGCCCUAGUUGAGCUUGGAUGCAUAGCUUGAAGUUGGAUGACUCGAUUGAGCUGAGAUCCCCUAAUUGAGCUAGGAUGUAUGUUAAUGAACUUUUUAUGCAUGCCAGUAUGUUUAUUACUACUUGACUUGAUGUGUUCAUGGAUAACCUGAAGGUAAGCAUGCAUGGAAGUUACACCAAAGGGAUACGCAUGAGUGGUCGAGGUGAAGUGGUAAUAUUGCUAUUGGUUUGCCAUCAAUAUUAUAAUACUAGUAUUCUCCAUGCUAGAUUUGAUGAUGAGAAGUCAUCCUAGUAAAUGAAUAAGGGUUUUUACUUACAAAAUCAUGAACUCACUCCUUAUUUUUCAAACUUGUAGGCAGGAAAGCAUCACGUCAGUUUUGGAAGCGGCGGUCACGUUAGAGAAGAUAGGAGUUUCCUCUUACCUAUGUGAAAACUUGUAAUAUGGUGUAAAAAGGAAAAAAUGGCCCGUAGAAAUAGGGCUUGUAAAUGAACUAUUGUAAUAUAAAGUAACGUGUCAUGUGUGAUGUAUAUCCUAGUCUUCCAACCGUUAUUUGUUUGAGGAGUUAUAUGUUCACGUUUCCAUGUGUGCAUGAUAACAAAAUACAAAGAAUUGAGACGACAACGAGCUUGAAACAUCGUGAAAA
rnacentral:lncRNA from 1 species